rnacentral:pre_miRNA from 1 species
GUUGUACUCCCUCCGUCUGAAAAUACUUGUCGGAGAAAUGGAUGUAUCUAGACGUAUUUUAGUUCUAGAUACAUCCAUUUUUAUUCAUUUCUUCGACUAGUAUUUCGGGACGGAGUACUAC